UACGUAGGUGGCAAGCGUUGUCCGGAUUUAUUGGGUUUAAAGGGUGCGUAGGCGGCUUUGUAAGUCAGUGGUGAAAUAUGGCAGCUCAACUGUUAGGGUGCCAUUGAUACUGCAGAGCUUGAGUACAGAUGAGGUAGGCGGAAUUGACGGUGUAGCGGUGAAAUGCUUAGAUAUCGUCAAGAACACCGAUAGCGAAGGCAGCUUACUGGGCUGUAACUGACGCUGAGGCACGAAAGUGUGGGGAUCAAACAGG
rnacentral:rRNA from 1 species